rnacentral:rRNA from 1 species
GACGGGGGGGGCAAGUGUUCUUCGGAAUGACUGGGCGUAAAGGGCACGUAGGCGUGAAUCGGGUUGAAAGUGAAAGUCGCCAAAAAGUGGCGGAAUGCUCUCGAAACCAAUUCACUUGAGUGAGACAGAGGAGAGUGGAAUUUCGUGUGUAGGGGUGAAAUCCGUAGAUCUACGAAGGAACGCCAAAAGCGAAGGCAGCUCUCUGGGUCCCU